ensembl:lncRNA
CUUUAAGAUCUUGAACUAGUAAAUAAUAGUGCGAUGAGUAUCCAUAUUGAGCGGGAACCAAACUAUUCGUAUUAGUACUAGUUAGUAGUAUGAAGAAUCAGCGCAUGUCAGCCACCUGUCUUGAACUAAUAAGGCUAAGCCUUAGUUACAUCUGUACCAAGCGCUCAGGGAAGAUACCCUUACUUUUUUCACUCCAAAAAAUAAAAAAAAAAAAAAAUCUGGAUAUCCAAGUAAGAAUGUGACCAUGACAUUCAGCAAGUCCAUAUGCUCAACAAUUUACAUGUGAAGGAUCAACAGACAUGGAGACUAUGUUCUGGAACCAUGACAGUCUUUUACAUUUACAUUUAUUCACUUAGCAGACACUUUUGUCCAAAGCAACUUACAACAGAUACUAUGUAGUGUUACUAGCCCACACACAUUAUUCACAAAUGUGACUACAUUACUAGAUACACUACUUACAAAGGGUUACUCAUCCAUGCAUCGGUGAAACACACUUACUCCAUGACACUCACACACUAUGGGGGAACCUGAAGAGCAUGUCUUUGGACUGUAGGAGGAAACCAGAGCACCCACAGGAAACCCACACAGACACAGGAGAACAUGCAAACUCCACACAGACAGAGUAGGGAUUGAAUCACAUUCUCUUGCACCACUUAGGUGCUGGGAAAGAACAGCACUACUCACUGUGCCACCGUGCCGCCCAAGAAUGUACCUUUUAGAAUCAGUCUGCUAUCAACGAAGGACAUUUUUACUUUGGAACUACAGUACAUCAAGCUACAUUGGUCCUUUUGAGUUCCCAGGACCCAUCUAGGGUGCAUCCAGCCUAACGCCGUGUGUUGCUAGGUUAGGCUACAGCUCGCCGCGAACCCGCUCGGGACAAGCGGCUUCAGCCCGUGUGUGUGUGAGAGUUCCCAGGAGGCCAAUCCACGAUUUAGUCAUCCCACACACUGUCGCUCUGUCUGACAAGAGCAUAGAUGAAACGAGCAGUAGCUCUGUCCUCUGCCAGUCACUAUGACCUGACUGCAGUAACAUGUUUUGGUACAUUCUAAAAAAUUCUAGCACCAAAAACACACUUACAAUGCUAUUGCUUACUGUAUAAUUAUGUAGACAAUUUUCAUUUAAAGCUCACUGUUUCAGGUUUAGCUCAAUACAGCUGUAUUUUUUGUGCCCUAUAUAGUACAACAUAGCAAACCUCAACAUAAAUUGUCUUUUAAUAUUCUAUGUAUUAUAUAACUCUCUAUA